GCUUGUCUCAAAGAUUAAGCCAUGCAUGUGUAAGUAUAAACUGAAUUAUACGGUGAAACUGCGAAUGGCUCAUUAAAUCAGUUAUAGUUUAUUUGAUGGAUACGGGGGCAACCCCACUACAUGGAUAACUGUAGUAACAUAGAGCUAAUACAUGCUUAAUGGCCUGACUUACGAAGGGCCUGCACUUAUUAGAUACCAAACCAAUACUACUCUCGGGUAGUUUCAAGGUGAAUCAUAAUAACUGAACAAAUCGCAUGGCCUUGUGCUGGCGAUGUAUCAUUCAAAUUUCUGCCCUAUCAACUUGUUGUUAGUGUAUUGGACUAACAAGGUGAUAACGGGUAACGGAGAAUUAGGGUUCGAUUCCGGAGAAGGAGCAUGAGAAACGGCUACUAUUUCUAAGGAAGGCAGCAGG
rnacentral:rRNA from 1 species